CUACUCUGUUUCCGUGUUACUGAUUUUUUACUUCAGAAUUCACAUGGCUACCCUUUCUUCAUGUGAACAAUAUGGUCGCAUAAGGUUAGUUCAGGAGAUCAUGUAUAUUGUUGAUUCCCAAUCGAUUAUACCCAUCCUUACACUAGAUUAUAUGCCUAACGGUUGUCCAGAUACCUCUAUUCUGACAUAUAUGAACCUCUUAUGAUCAUUUCAUUAAACAUAUUGUGGUGACUACUAAAUACUCAUGGAUGGCAAUAUAAAUGAAAAUACUUGAUAACCAAUUAGCUAAUAAUGUUCCUUAUGCAUCCUUUCCAUAUACCGGAAGAGGGUUGUAAGAUAAAUCAAACAAUACAUUAUAAUGACCCAAGGCCCCCGGAUAAUGGCAUGUAUGAAUGUUGGUGCCAUAGGGUUUUGAAGUUUUUAUGUGGCUGGACAAACAUUAGUUAGUGAUAUAUAGCAAUGGAAUGUAAUGUCGUGCAUAUUUUUUUCUAGCCAUUGUUCCUAUUAUUUUUUCAUUUAUAUUUGCUCACGUUAGAGCUAUGGUAUUCGGAGGAGGGGGGUACCACUACCCAUGGUCCGAGGUUGCAUCCAAAGGACAAGUAGCUUGUGUUUUCUGUUGUAGUUUUUUUUAAAAAAGUUAGGUUUUGUCUCUUGGCAAUAUAUCUUUGCUCCGUUUAUGAGUUACUUUGAAUGAUGCAUGCACUAUUGUAGUCAAAAUGUCUGUGACUGGAUUUUUAUAUCAACUAUGUUUGCUCACGCUAAUAUUACUAUGCUUUUAUAUCAACUAUGUUUGCUCAAAUGAUCCAAGAAAAGAAUGAACAACUUGAAUGAAUGAUCGUUGUUUGAAAACACUAGAAUUUUAAUAAAUAAUUUACCAUGUGUAGGUACAAUCUAAAUCACUGGUUUAUGAAAGGAUUAUAACCCCAAAUCCAAUAUCAAAACUGAUUGUUGUGUUGCUUUAAUUAUGUGCAACCUGAUUGCGGUUCUACCAUGGUGAUGACGUGGAAUAUACCACCUUUUACUAGGCUUUAUUAUUCAAUAGUUAUACGUAAAAUGAUCUUAGUUUCUUGAGGCAUUAAUUCUUGCUGGCAGGGUUGAGUUGAGCAAAGUAAGACAUGUGGGGAGUGAGCUCCAAGAUAAUUUUGGGGGAAUUACAGACUAUGUGAUCCCCGCCCAUUACUUAUUGCAGUUUUCGGUUCUCUUUCUAUAUUAGUGCCUUAUUGGAAACAAAUGCCCCUAUAGAGUGUACGGGGCAAUGUGGCUACCUAUCCCUGAAAUGGCACAUAAAGAUCAGCUUUCCUACUUUGGAUCCAUAUUACUUCAAAAAAAGUGUGGAUGGAUGCAAAAUGGAAGGGCAGAAGUAGGAUCAGGAUGAACAAUGAGGAGAUAUGAAGGCUACUAGAGCUGGGCCUCGAGCCACGAUAUAUUUCCCCAUCUGGCAGUGGCAAGCUGGAGCAUGUCUAUUUCUCUACGACAGAUGGACAAGCAGAAAAGGGAUCAAAAGGUUAAGAGGACAAUCCCAAAGAACUAUUGUGCAUGUCCAAUGAAUGACAUUCUGUUAGCACAUUCCAUAUUUGGUGUUCUGGUAGUGCGAUGGAUUAUAUUAGCCAGCAGUGGCGAAUGAGAAACCGAAGCGGAGGGCGCCGCUUGGCCUCCGCGGCAGCCGUUCAUGGGCUUCUGCUUUGGAUGAACUCCAGCAGUGUCGCCUGUAGCUAGCACACUCUGGAUUGCCAUGAUCGAUCGCAACAGCCACCACACUUGGUUUGCUCAUUUGAAUUUUUAGGCUGGUGUUGGGUCUCAUACCGAUCAUAUCAAGUUUGCUCACCAAAACAAUUAAGCACAUUAAUGAAAAAAUAUUGUUUGGUUCCCUCCCUUGUAUUCCUGUGACCCGGUACGUUAUCCAUCGAACAGCAACAUCAAAGAUGUCCAGGAUUCAUCCGUGCAGAGAGCUCUCCUCCUGGUUUGAUCUGGAGAGGUAUUUUUUUUCAAAAUGGGGAUCUGGAGAGUUUGGUUCAACCGUAAUUUAUGAUCCAAAGGAAUCACUAGCAUCAUCUAACAAAGCUUCAACUGAUAGGAGGUGAUAAGAUUGGGCGAGAUAGAAGAGAUCAUAAGAAAGAUGAUGAAUAUUACUGCGCCGCUCUUCAGCUUCAACUGCAACCUCGCUGAACCAAGGUGUCCUCGACAAGUGCGAGCCUGGCAAGGCCACUACCUCCACCCUUGCAUUGCCCUCGUUUCAGCUUCUGCAGGCAGUUCCAGGGCCCAAAUGCUGCUAAUCCAUUAGGAUUUUACAUGUCUAAAUUCAUUUACAGUUGUUCGGUGUUGUUCAGUACAGUUAUCAGGACCUCAAUGUGUCCAUUUGAAUUUAUUUCGUGGAAUUACGGAUUGGAUCUUUAGAUUCUAUUCAUGGUACAGGGAGGUAUAACUAUGAUAAAGUUUCGCUGCCAAAUAUAAUCAUUUUUUAUAUUUGAUUCAUGUUCUUUGCUGCUAUUUCCAGUAUCUUCACAUGUAGGUAUGAGGAAAAGGUCCUAAUACGCAACUUUGGAGAAGAGAUUAAUGGUGCUUAUCCUUUUCUAAUAUAUACAAUGUAUGGGUUGCACG